rnacentral:rRNA from 1 species
CAGUCGCCGCGGUAAAACGAGGGGGGCAAGCGUUGUUCGGAUUUAUUGGGCGUAAAGGGUGCGUAGGCGGUUUGGCAAGUCCUGUGUGAAAUCUUCGGGCUCAACCCGAAGCCUGCACGAGAAACUACCGGGCUUGAGUAUUGGAGAGGUGAGUGGAAUUUCCGGUGUAGCGGUGAAAUGCGUAGAUAUCGGAAGGAACACCUGUGGCGAAAGCGGCUCACUGGACAAUAACUGACGCUGAUGCACGAAAGCUAGGGGAGCAAACAGGAUUAGAUACCCCUGUAGUCCCUGUCUCUUAUAA